rnacentral:rRNA from 1 species
GUAAUCUUGUCGGAAUCUGCGGGGACCAUCCCGUAAGGCUAAAUACUCUCUAUUGACCGAUAGUGAACAAGUACCGUGAGGGAAAGGUGAAAAGAACCCCGGAAGGGGAGUGAAAUAGAACACUGAAACCAUUUGCUUACAAAAAGUUCGAGCCCGUUAAUGGGUGAGAGCGUGCCUUUUGCAGAAUGAACCGGCGAGUUACGGUAUAAUGCAAGGUUAAGCGGUAAACGCGGAGCCGUAGCGAAAGCGAGUCUUAAUAGGGCGAAAUAAGUAUUAUGCUGUAGACCCGAAACCGAGUGAUCUAACCAUGGGCAGGUUGAAGUAAGAGUGAAAUCUUAUGGAGGACCGAACGAGGGAACGCUGUAAAGUUCUUCGAUGACCUGUGGCUAGCGGUGAAAUUCCAAUCGAACUCGGAAAUAGCUGGUUCUCCCCGAAAUAGGUUUACGCCUAGCCUCGUGUGAUCCCUAGUGGAGGUAGAGCACUGAAUGUUAGAUGGCGGCGCAUAGUCGUACUGAUAGCAAUCAAACUCCGAAUGCCAUUAGAUUACAGCACGGGAGUCAGUGUAUGGGUGAUAACGUUCAUACGCGAGAGAAAAAUAAUUCAGAUCAUCAGCUAAGGUCCCAAAAUCUGUGUUAAGUGGAGAAGGAUGUGGAGUUGUAUAAACAGCUAGGAGGUUGGCUCAGAAGCAGCCAUCCUUUAAAGAGUGCGUAAUAGCUCACUAGUCGAGUGGCUCUGCGCCGAAAAUGUACCGGGGCUAAACACAGUACCGAAGCUAUGGGCUUUCUAGUAAUAGGAAGCGGUAGGGGAGCGUUCUAAUUGGGCUGAAGGUAGAUCGUGAGGACUACUGGACUGAUUAGAAGUGAGAAUGCCGGUGUGAGUAACGUAAGGGAAGUGAGAAUCUUCCCCACCGAACGACCAAGGUUUCCAGGGUAAAGUUCGUCUUCCCUGGGUUAGUCAGGAACUAAGGCGAGGCUGAAAAGCGUAGUCGAUGUCCAUCCGGUUUAUAUUCCGGAACUACCUAUAUCACUGAUGGAGUGACGGAGAAAGAUAGCAAGAGCCUGUUAUUGGAUUCAGGUUUAAGCACAUAGGUUUCUAGGUGUAAAUGCGCCAUAGUAUAAGACUGAAGUGUGAUGACGUCGUUUCCUUCGGGAGACUAAGUCUUGUGAUUCUAUGCUUCCAAGAAAAGCUUCUAAAGAUAUGUUAUAGGUACCUGUACCGCAAACCACCACAGGUGGUCGAGGAGAGAAUCCUAAGGUGAGCGAGAGAACUAUGGUUAAGGAACUCGGCAAAAUGACCCCGUAACUUCGGAAUAAGGGGAGGUCCUUUAGGGGACCCGCAGAGAAUUGUCCCAGGCAACUGUUUACCAAAAACAUAGGUUUCUGCAAAAGCGCAAGCUGAAGUAUAGGAGCUGACGCCUGCCCAGUGCUGGAAGGUUAAGAUGAUUUGUUAGUCGGACGAAAGUCGAUAACGGCGAAGCAAUGAGUUGAAGCCCCAGUGAACGGCGGCCGUAACUAUAACGGUCCUAAGGUAGCGAAAUUCCUUGUCAGGUAAGUUCUGACCCGCACGAAA